UACGUAGGGGGCAAGCGUUGUCCGGAUUUAUUGGGCGUAAAGAGCGUGUAGGCGGCCAGAUAAGUCUGCUGUGAAAACUCGAGGCUCAACCUCGAGCUGUCGGCGGAAACUAUUUGGCUAGAGUCCGGAAGAGGAAAGCGGAAUUCCUGGUGUAGCGGUGAAAUGCGCAGAUAUCAGGAGGAACACCGGUGGCGAAGGCGGGUCUCUGGGCCGAUACUGACGCUGAGGAGCGAAAGCGUGGGGAGCGAACAGG
rnacentral:rRNA from 1 species